GCAAAUUUGUCAAAUUACUUUAAAACCUAAAAAAAAUUACUUUGAAAUCCUUUUCAUUUUCUCUUUCUCUGAUUUAAUUCAUCUCAUCCUCUUCGUUUUCUUUUCCACCAACUUCCAUAGCUUAGUCUUAGGUUCCUCUACUUGCCAUUCACAAGAUUCAACAAAAUCACCCACAAUAUGAAGAGGAGAAGAGGGAGAAACUCAUUCAGCCCAAAAUCUACCAAAAAGAGGAAAUAAUUAUCAAAAAAUCUAAAACGAGGGUUUAGAAUAAAUCCCUUUGUUAAACCCACCAUUUAAGCCGAUCCCAUUCAAAUUCUGACCACCGGCGGAGCCACUGAUUGAGCCGAUAUCGGAGGAAUCAAUCUUCCAGCUAUGAUUAAACCCAUUAAAAUCUGUCUUCAAAUUACUAUUGGUACCAUUAUUAUUACCACUCAGCGAGUCAACCGAGUUGAGGCCGCCGCCAACCCGAAUAUCGAAGUUGCGCCGUUCUUCCAGCCUUUUGGCGCCGCCGUAGGAGGUGCUCCAGUCUCCACAUUGAGUCGUUGAGAGAGAGAUUGGCUAGAUUAUUAUUGGUCUGUACACGAAGUUGAUCACUGAAUUGCCAGAAAGAAGAUUGAUUGUUAUUCUCCAUCUGAAAAAAAAUCAAUCUUAAUUAUUUUCCUGAACAAAAUAUAUGUAAUAUAUGUAUAUGUAUGGAGAUUUAGAGACGAAGAAGAGGGAAUUGGUGUAUGAUAUGAUAAUGGGGACGGUGGGAAGAGGGUAUAUAUAAAUAAAUAAAUAAAUAUAUGGGGACGAAUUGGGAUUUAUGGGAGGAAAUUUCUAAAAAAU
rnacentral:lncRNA from 1 species